GACGAACGCUGGCGGCGCGCUUAACACAUGCAAGUCGAACGGAAAGGCCUGCUUUCCCUUGUGGAUUGCGGGUACUCGAGUGGCGAACGGGUGAGUAACACGUGAGUGAUCUGCCCCCAACUUGGGUAUAAGCCUGGGAAACUGGGUCUAAUUCCCGAUAGGACUGCAGGGUGGUGCCUGUGGUGGAAAACGAUUUUCUAGUGGUUGGGGAUGAGCUCGCGGCCUAUCAGCUUGUUGGUGGGGUAAUGGCCUACCAAGGCGGCGACGGGUAGCCGGCCUGAGAGGGUGGACGGCCACAUUGGGACUGAGAUACGGCCCAGACUCCUACGGGAGGCAGCAGUGGGGAAUAUUGCACAAUGGGCGGAAGCCUGAUGCAGCGAUGCCGCGUGGGGGAUGACGGCCUUCGGGUGGUAAACUCCUUUCGACCGCGAGGAAGCCACCUGGUUGGAAGGGUGGUGACGGUAGUGGUAGAAGAAGCACCGGCUAACUACGUG
rnacentral:rRNA from 1 species